rnacentral:rRNA from 1 species
CCUACGGGAGGCAGCAGUAAGGGAUAUUGGUCAAUGGGGGAAACCCUGAACCAGCAACGCCGCGUGAGGGAAGACGGUUUUCGGAUUGUCACCCUCUGUCCUCUGUGAAGAUGAUGACGGUAGCAGAGGAGUAAGCUCCGGCCAACUACGUGCCAGCUGCCGCGGUAAUACGUAGGGAGCGACUGUUGUCCGGAUUUACUGGGUGUAAUGGGUGCGUAGGCGGCUUGGCAAGUCAGUAGUGAAAACCAUGGGCUUAACCCAUGAACUGCUGGUGAAACUGUCGGGCUUGAGUGAGGUGGAGGUAGGCGGAAUUCCCGGUGUAGCGGUGAAAUGCGUAGAGAUCGGGAGGAACAGC